GACGGGGGGGGCAAGUGUUCUUCGGAAUGACUGGGCGUAAAGGGCACGUAGGCGGUGAAUCGGGUUGAAAGUGAAAGUCGCCAAAAAGUGGCGGAAUGCUCUCGAAACCAAUUCACUUGAGUGAGACAGAGGAGAGUGGAAUUCCCGGUGUAGCGGUGAAAUGCGCAGAUAUCGGGAGGAACACCAAUGGCGAAGGCAGCUCGCUGGGACGGUACUGACGCUGAGACGCGAAAGCGUGGGGAGCAAACAGG
rnacentral:rRNA from 1 species